rnacentral:rRNA from 1 species
UACAGAGGGUGCGAGCGUUAAUCGGAAUUACUGGGCGUAAAGCGUGCGUAGACGGUUAUUUAAGUCGGGUGUGAAAGCCCCGGGCUCAACCUGGGAAUUGCAUUCGAGACUGAAUAGCUAGGGUACGGUAGAGGGAAGUGGAAUUUCCGGUGUAGCGGUGAAAUGCGUAGAUAUCGGAAGGAACAUCAGUGGCGAAAGCGAAUCUCUGGACAGUUACUGACACUGAGGCACGAAGGCCAGGGGAGCAAACGGG